GGACAAGUGUGCUAAUGCUUUCCUCAAGAAGUUCUUCCCAGCGAGCAAGACCAGUGCUGAAAGCCCUAGUUUGGUUUUGGAUAAUUGAAGAAACCCUAGUACUAACCUCUAUGCUAAGUGUGUGUAGACUUAAUGAGGUUGCUACAUGCCAAGUGAUGGAGCAAGUGAUGAUCAUGGUGAUGUUGUUAAUGACCACAAGAUGAUCAAGUGCUCAACUUGGAAAAGAAGAAAGAGAAAAAC
rnacentral:lncRNA from 1 species